UACGAAGGGGGCUAGCGUUGCUCGGAAUGACUGGGCGUAAAGGGCGCGUAGGCGGAUUAUACAGUCAGAUGUGAAAUUCCUGGGCUCAACCUGGGGGCUGCAUUUGAUACGUGUAGUCUGGAGUUCGGAAGAGGGUUGUGGAAUUCCCAGUGUAGAGGUGAAAUUCGUAGAUAUUGGGAAGAACACCGGUGGCGAAGGCGGCGACCUGGUCCGAUACUGACGCUGAGGCGCGAAAGCGUGGGGAGCAAACAGG
rnacentral:rRNA from 1 species